rnacentral:rRNA from 1 species
CUGACCGUGCUAAGGUAGCAUAAUCAUUUGCCUCUUAAUUGGUGGCUAGUAUGAAUGGACACACGCAAGCAUCGCUGUCUCACUAAUAUAAAUAAAAACUAACCUUUAGGUGAAGAGGCCUAAAUAAAAUAAAAAGACAAAAAGACCCUAUGGAGCUUUAUUUUUCCUCCUUUAACGUACAAUAUACUAAAAUACCUUCCAGGACUAACAAAUUUAGUUGGGGCGACUUAGGAAAACAAUAAAUCUUCCUAGUUUAACAAGAAAAUAAUUCAUCCAACGAUCCGCCAUGCGAAUACAGAUCCAGCUACCCUAGGGAUAACAGGCUAAUUCUUCUCGAGAGCCCGAAUUGACAGAAGAGAUUGGCAC